GUGGGGAAUAUUGCACAAUGGGGGAAACCCUGAUGCAGCGACGCCGCGUGAGCGAUGAAGGCUUUCGAGUCGUAAAGCUCUGUCCUAUGGGAAGAUAAUGACGGUACCAUAGAAGAAAGCCCCGGCUAAUUACGUGCCAGCAGCCGCGGUAAUACGUAAGGGGCGAGCGUUGUCCGGAAUUAUUGGGCGUAAAGGGUGCGUAGGCGGCAAAUUAAGUCAGAUGUGAAAACUAAGGGCUCAACCCAUAGAUUGCAUCUGAAACUGAUAUGCUUGAGUCAAGGAGAGGAAAGUGGAAUUCCUAGUGUAGCGGUGGAAUGCGUAGAUAUUAGGAGGAAUACCGGUGGCGAAGGCGACUUUCUGGACUUGAACUGACGCUGAGGCACGAAAGCGUGGGGAGCAAACAGGAUUAGAAACCCUAGUAGUCC
rnacentral:rRNA from 1 species